CCCUUUUGCUGAUGGUUUCAUUGACUUUGCCGCCCGGUUGUGUUAUACGGUGUACUGGAACGAGGAUAAUUGGAAGGAAUCUAGCGGCGAAGAAACGGCCGCAAAGCGAAACAAACAGUUUAACAAACUGCAAAGCAUCAUGGAGAUGGUCGGUACUGCUCCAAAUCAGCUUAAUUUGCGUUGGUUGUACAUCCUUUCUGCGGUUCUAGACAGAUAUGAGGCAGCACUUACUAGCGACGACUAUGCGCAACUGUUGCAACUGUUGUGCAAUGUGCAACCGAGCCUACAAUCGCCGCACGAGCAUGAUGCUUUCUACCAGUGCUGUUCCGUGCUGCUCGCGU